rnacentral:rRNA from 1 species
CCCUUAGAUGUCCUGGGCCACACGCGCGCUACAAUGACUCACUCAGAAAGUUUUUCCUGAUCCGGAAGGAUUCGGGUAAUCUUCAUAGCAUGAGUCGUGUUAGGGAUCGAUCUUUGCAAUUAUAGAUCUUGAACGAGGAAUGCCUAGUAAGUGCAGCUCAUCAGGCUGUACUGAUUACGUCCCUGCCCUUUGUACACACCGCCCGUCGCUCCUACCGAUUGAGUGGUCCGGUGAACCUUCUGGAUUAAGCAGCAAUGCUUGAGGAGUUAGGUAAACCUUAUCACUUAGAGGAAGGAGAAGUCGUGACA